AUACGUAGGUGGCGAGCGUUGUCCGGAAUUAUUGGGCGUAAAGGGCGCGUAGGCGGGAUAGUCCGUCUGUUGUAAAAGUGCGGGGCUCAACCCCGUAGAGCAAUGGAAACAGCUAUUCUUGAGUGCAGGAGAGGAAAGUGGAAUUCCCAGUGUAGCGGUGAAAUGCGUAGAGAUUGGGAAGAACACCAGUGGCGAAGGCGACUUUCUGGACUGUGUCUGACGCUGAGGCGCGAAAGCCAGGGGAGCGAACGGGAUUAGAUACCCCGGUAGUCCUGGCCGUAAACGAUGGGUACUAGGUGUGGGAGGUAUCGACCCCUUCCGUGCCGGAGUUAACGCAAUAAGUACCCCGCCUGGGGAGUACGGUCGCAAGACUGAA
rnacentral:rRNA from 1 species